rnacentral:rRNA from 1 species
UACAGAGGUCCCAAGCGUUGUUCGGAUUCACUGGGCGUAAAGGGUGCGUAGGCGGUCGGGUAAGUCUGAUGUGAAAUCUCACAGCUUAACUGUGAAACUGCAUUGGAUACUAUUCGGCUUGAGAGUUGGAGGGGGGACUGGAAUUCUUGGUGUAGCAGUGAAAUGCGUAGAUAUCAAGAGGAACACCAGUGGCGAAGGCGGCCAUCUGGACGGUGACUGACGCUGAGACGCGAAAGCGUGGGGGAGCGAACAGG